rnacentral:lncRNA from 1 species
GCUCGCUCCUUGACGGCUGACCGACACUGGGUCUGAGGUGUAAGCGCUUUCCAGGCCCUUCCCUGGGGCUUGGAGGGGAAUGGCGCAAAGGACUUUUCUUACAAGCAGAGAGGUUGGACUCCUGAAAGCCUGGACAGUGUCAUCAUCUUCACCUGAAGAGUGGAAAAAUUCAAGCAAAGAGUUUCUCAGGAAAUGACCAAGUAAAACAUCUGGAGUAAGUCAGCAGGAUUCACAGUGACUCCCCCCAACCAGCUGGUGGUGUUUCUCUCUGAAAGCAGCGCUUGGUACCAGUGUGAACUCUCUUCCUUCAGAAGUCUCAUCAGGUGGACGUAAUACGAGGGUCUGGUCCCCCAUACCUUGAGGACUCCGCUGCCAUCUGACAAUUACAGACAAUCCAAUUGUCCUCAUCCUUGAGGACUCUGCUGCCAUCUGACAAUUAGAGACAGUCCAAAACAUGCCACACUUUGAUCCUAAACACAUUCCUGGCUUUGGUCACUUUUGAAAAGUUCCUGAGUUAUGAGAAAUCAAUAAUAAGAGUGUUCAAAACCUGAACACUCUUUUUAGAAAUACCUGCUGGAACUACAUAUAUGAUUUAUGGGGUACUGUCUUGUAGUAUCUGGGAAAGUAGACCCAUCUAACCUGGAAUGAUCAUAGGCAACAAUGACCAAAAAUGGGGAUCUUUUGAUAUACCUAAAGUAAUUUAUUUGUGCACACCAUUGGAAAGAGCUGGUUUUAGAACCAGACAUGUAAAUAAGAGACUGACUUCCACUGGCACCUAAAAACUUCUAAAAGAAAUCCUGAAAGAAAAAGUCACCUUCAUUCAAGAGGUAAACAAAGGGAUAUUUGAAACUAUGUUAAAAGACUUCAGAGGCUUUCUCCCUUUCACCUCCAGACCCUCCUUUUCCUUCCAGCCCUGUGAUCUGAACUCAUCCCUUUCUGCCGCUUCUCUUGGCUUCCAUACAUCUCUUAGGCAGAGAUGUUUUAAAAUUUCACAAUGUACACAUUUCCUUCUCUCAGGGGAAAUGAAUUUAAAUUUAGAGCAGAAGGAACAAGCAGAACAACAACAGAAUGGGAAUAAGACUGCUGAGACUAUAAAAAUGCAGAUCCAACAAAAUUUUUUCUCACCAGGUCUAGUGAAUGACACUGUGAUAUGGUCUGGCUCUGUGUUCCCAACAAAAUGUCAUCUCGAAUUGUAAUCCCCACGUGUCGGGGGAGAAGCCUGGUGGGAGAUGAUUGGAUCAUGGAGGCAGUUUCCCCCAUGCUGUUUUCAUGAUAGGGAGGGAGUUCUUACGAGAUGUGAUGGUUUAAAAGUGUUUGGCAGUGGCCGGGCGCGGUGGCUCACGCCUGUAAUCCCAGCACUUUGGGAGGCCGAGGCGGGUGGAUCAUGAGGUCAGGAGAUCGAGACCAUCCUGGCUAACAAGGUGAAACCCCGUCUCUACUAAAAAUACAAAAAAUUAGCCGGGCGCGGUGGCGGGCGCCUGUAGUCCCAGCUACUCGGGAGGCUGAGGCAGGAGAAUGGCGUGAACCCGGGAAGCGGAGCUUGCAGUGAGCCGAGAUUGCGCCACUGCAGUCCGCAGUCCGGCCUGGGCGACAGAGCGAGACUCCGUCUCAAAAAAAAAAAAAAAAAAAAAAAAGUGUUUGGCAGUUCCCUUUCUGGCUUUCUCUCUCCUACUGCCUUGUGAAGAAGGUGCUUGCUUCUCCUUCACCUUCCACCCUGAUUUUAAGUUUCCUGAGGCCUCCCCAGCCAUGUAGAACUGUGAGUCAAUUAAACCAAUUUUAUUUAUAAA